UAGGGAAUCUUCCACAAUGGACGCAAGUCUGAUGGAGCAACGCCGCGUGAGUGAAGAAGGCUUUCGGGUCGUAAAACUCUGUUAUUGAAGAAGAACGUGUGUGACAGUAACUGGUCAUGCAGUGACGGUAUUCAAUCAGAAAGUCACGGCUAACUACGUGCCAGCAGCCGCGGUAAUACGUAGGUGGCAAGCGUUGUCCGGAUUUAUU
rnacentral:rRNA from 1 species